rnacentral:rRNA from 1 species
GGAGCUUGCUCCUCUGAUCAGUGGCGAACGGGUGAGUAACACGUGAGCAACCUGCCCCAGACUCUGGGAUAACAGUUGGAAACAGCUGCUAAUACCGGAUACGAGACGGAGAGGCAUCUCUACCGUCUGGAAAGUUUUUCGGUCUGGGAUGGACUCGCGGCCUAUCAGCUAGUUGGUGAGGUAAUGGCUCACCAAGGCGACGACGGGUAGCCGGCCUGAGAGGGCGACCGGCCACACUGGGACUGAGACACGGCCCAGACUCCUACGGGAGGCAGCAGUGGGGAAUAUUGCACAAUGGGCGAAAGCUUGAUGCAGCGACGCCGCGUGAGGGAUGACGGCCUUCGGGUUGUAAACCUCUUUCAGCAGGGAAGAAGCGAAAGUGACGGUACCUGCAGAAGAAGCACCGGCUAACUACGUGCCAGCAGCCGCGGUAAUACGUAGGGUGCGAGCGUUGUCCGGAAUUAUUGGGCGUAAAGAGCUUGUAGGCGGUUUGUCGCGUCUGCAGUGAAAAUCCCGAGGCUCAACCUCGGACUUGCUGUGGGUACGGGCAGACUAGAGUAUGGUAGGGGAGACCGGAAUUCCUGGUGUAGCGGUGGAAUGCGCAGAUAUCAGGAGGAACACCGAUGGCGAAGGCAGGUCUCUGGGCCAUAACUGACGCUGAGAAGCGAAAGCAUGGGGAGCGAACAGGAUUAGAUACCCUGGUAGUCCAUGCCGUAAACGUUGGGCGCUAGGUGUGGGGCUCAUUCCACGAGCUCCGUGCCGCAGCUAACGCAUUAAGCGCCCCGCCUGGGGAGUACGGCCGCAAGGCUAAAACUCAAAGGAAUUGACGG